rnacentral:rRNA from 1 species
AUGGAGGAUUCGCAGACGGCAGCGGCGGUGCUUGAGGAGCCGGCGCCGGCGCCGGCGCCGGAGCGCGAGGUGAUCGACGGCAAGAGGAUGGUGUGGAGGAAGCUGCCCAUGGAAAAGGUGCAGCGCGUGCUCUCCGCCGCCUCCCCGAUCAGGAUCCCGACGGGCCCCGUCAUCGACCCCAUGAUCCUCGAGUCGCGGAAGAAGUUGAUGCUCAUCCUCGAGUUCAUCCGGCAGCGCCAGGAGGCCACGCGGGAGGAGCUCUGCACCAAGGGCUACGUCAUGGGCUGGGUCACCGACGACGACGACGACGAGGAGGAGUAG